CGCUGGCGGCGUGCCUAAUACAUGCAAGUCGUACGCUUCUUUUUCCACCGGAGCUUGCUCCACCGGAAAAAGAAGAGUGGCGAACGGGUGAGUAACACGUGGGUAACCUGCCCAUCAGAAGGGGAUAACACUUGGAAACAGGUGCUAAUACCGUAUAACAAUCGAAACCGCAUGGUUUUGAUUUGAAAGGCGCUUUCGGGUGUCGCUGAUGGAUGGACCCGCGGUGCAUUAGCUAGUUGGUGAGGUAACGGCUCACCAAGGCYACGAUGCAUAGCCGACCUGAGAGGGUGAUCGGCCACAUUGGGACUGAGACACGGCCCAAACUCCUACGGGAGGCAGCAGUAGGGAAUCUUCGGCAAUGGACGAAAGUCUGACCGAGCAACGCCGCGUGAGUGAAGAAGGUUUUCGGAUCGUAAAACUCUGUUGUUAGAGAAGAACAAGGAUGAGAGUAACUGUUCAUCCCUUGACGGUAUCUAACCAGAAAGCCACGGCUAACUACGUGCCAGCACCGGUGGUAAUACGUAGGUGGCAAGCGUUGUCCGGAUUUAUUGGGCGUAAAGCGAGCGCAGGCGGUUUCUUAAGUCUGAUGUGAAAGCCCCCGGCUCAACCGGGGAGGGUCAUUGGAAACUGGGAGACUUGAGUGCAGAAGAGGAGAGUGGAAUUCCAUGUGUAGCGGUGAAAUGCGUAGAUAUAUGGAGGAACACCAGUGGCGAAGGCGGCUCUCUGGUCUGUAACUGACGCUGAGGCUCGAAAGCGUGGGGAGCGAACAGGAUUAGAUACCCUGGUAGUCCACGCCGUAAACGAUGAGUGCUAAGUGUUGGAGGGUUUCCGCCCUUCAGUGCUGCAGCUAACGCAUUAAGCACUCCGCCUGGGGAGUACGACCGCAAGGUUGAAACUCAAAGGAAUUGACGGGGGCCCGCACAAGCGGUGGAGCAUGUGGUUUAAUUCGAAGCAACGCGAAGAACCUUACCAGGUCUUGACAUCCUUUGACCACUCUAGAGAUAGAGCUUCCCCUUCGGGGGCAAAGUGACAGGUGGUGCAUGGUUGUCGUCAGCUCGUGUCGUGAGAUGUUGGGUUAAGUCCCGCAACGAGCGCAACCCUUAUUGUUAGUUGCCAUCAUUCAGUUGGGCACUCUAGCAAGACUGCCGGUGACAAACCGGAGGAAGGUGGGGAUGACGUCAAAUCAUCAUGCCCCUUAUGACCUGGGCUACACACGUGCUACAAUGGGAAGUACAACGAGUCGCGAAGUCGCGAGGCUAAGCUAAUCUCUUAAAGCUUCUCUCAGUUCGGAUUGUAGGCUGCAACUCGCCUACAUGAAGCCGGAAUCGCUAGUAAUCGCGGAUCAGCACGCCGCGGUGAAUACGUUCCC
rnacentral:rRNA from 1 species